rnacentral:rRNA from 1 species
ACACGUGGGUGACCUACCUUCGAGUGGGGGAUAACGUCCCGAAAGGGACGCUAAUACCGCAUAACAUCCUGCCUUUGAACAGGUGGAGAUCAAAGCCGGGGAUCGCAAGACCUGGCGCUUGAUGAGGGGCCCGCGCCUGAUUAGCUAGUUGGUGGGGUAAUGGCUCACCAAGGCGACGAUCAGUAUCCGGCCUGAGAGGGCGGACGGACACACUGGGACUGAGACACGGCCCAGACUCCUACGGGAGGCAGCAGUGGGGAAUUGUUCGCAAUGGGCGCAAGCCUGACGACGCAACGCCGCGUGGAGGAUGAAGGUCUUCGGAUUGUAAACUCCUGUUGCUCGGGACGAAAAGCUUCGACCUAAUACGUCGAAGUCUGACGGUACCGAGUGAGGAAGCCCCGGCUAACUCUGUGCCAGCAGCCGCGGUAAUACAGAGGGGGCAAGCGUUGUUCGGAAUUACUGGGCGUAAAGGGCGCGUAGGCGGCCUGCUAAGUCGAACGUGAAAUCCCUGGGCUCAACCCAGGAACUGCGUCCGAUACUGGUUGGCUUGAAUCCGGGAGAGGGACGUGGAAUUCCAGGUGUAGCGGUGAAAUGCGUAGAUAUCUGGAGGAACACCGGUGGCGAAGGCGACGUCCUGGACCGGCAUUGACGCUGAGGCGCGAAAGCCAGGGGAGCAAACGGGAUUAGAUACCCCGGUAGUCCUGGCCCUAAACGAUGAAUGCUUGGUGUGGUGGGGUAUCG